rnacentral:rRNA from 1 species
CAGUAGCCGCGGGAAUACGUAGGGCGCAAGCGUUAUCCGGAAUUAUUGGGCGUAAAGAGCUCGUAGGCGGUUUGUCGCGUCUGCCGUGAAAGUCCGGGGCUCAACCCCGGAUCUGCGGUGGGUACGGGCAGACUAGAGUGAUGUAGGGGAGACUGGAAUUCCUGGUGUAGCGGUGAAAUGCGCAGAUAUCAGGAGGAACACCGAUGGCGAAGGCAGGUCUCUGGGCAUUAACUGACGCUGAGGAGCGAAAGCAUGGGGAGCGAACAGGAUUAGAUACCCGCGUAGUCCCUGUCUCUUAUAU